rnacentral:rRNA from 1 species
UUAUUUUUAUUUUAAAUUCGAAUUUUUUUUUAUUUUAUUUUGAUAAAAAUAUUUUUUAUUUUAGUAUUUUAAAGAAUUAAUAUUUUUUAUUUAUUAGAACUGUGAAGGUUUUAUUUUCAUAUUAAUAAAGUAUCUUUAACUUAGAGUACCUUUUGCAUCAGGGUUUAUUAAAAUUAUAAAAUUAUUUUUUUUUCUCGAAAUCUUAAGAUUUAAUAUAUAAUGUUUUUUUUUGUGACAAAAAAAUUUAUAAUUUUAUAUUAGAGGUUAUAUGCUUUUCAUUUAAGAUGAUAUCUAGUUUUCUGAUAAUUGAAUAUAAUUCAUUUUUAAUAAAGCUUUAUUUAAUUUAAUUAUUGAAAGUUUAUUAAAUCAAGAUAGUAGGGGAUAAGCUCUACUAUUUAUUUAAAAAUUAUAUUUUUAAAGAUAAUUUAUAGGAUUAGAAAUUUUCAUUUUUAUUUUGUUAUAAUUAUUUUUCUUUUAAUAGGAUUUUUUGUUAUUUUAAUUUUUUAUCAGAAUCUCUUUAAAAUUUUUUAAAAAAAUUAAUAAUGAUAAAAUUAGUAAUUUUGUUAAUUUAUUUAUAGUAACUCGGCAAUUUUUAUUUCCACCUGUUUAACAAAAACAUGUUCUUUUGUUUUUAAUAUAAGAUUGGACCUGCCCAUUGAUUUAAAAUAUUAAAAGGCUGCGGUAUUUUAACUGUACGAAGGUAGCAUAAUCAUUUGUCUCUUAAUUGGAGGCUGGUAUGAAUGGUUUGAUGAGAAAUAAACUUUCUUUAAAUGAUUUAUUUGAAUUUAAUUUUUUAGUUAAAAAGCUGAAAUUUUUUUAUAGGACGAGAAGACCCUAUAGAGGUUUACUAUUUAUAUUAAUUGUUUUUUUUAGUUAAUAAAAUUAUUAUUAAGAAUAAAUAGUUUUGUUGGGGUGACAAUGGAAUUUUAUUAACUUUCAUUAUUCAUUUUCAUAAAUUAAUGUUUUUUUGAUCCGGAAUUUUCGAUUAUAAGAUUAACCUACCUUAGGGAUAACAGCGUAAUUUUUUUGGAGAGUUCAUAUCGAUAAAAAAGUUUGCGACCUCGAUGUUGAAUUAAGAUAAAUGACGGGGGUAGAUUUUCGUUUUUUUGGUCUGUUCGACCAUUAAAUUCUUACAUGAUUUGAGUUCAGACCGGCGUGAGCCAGGUCGGUUUCUAUCCUUAUUUUUAGUGAAUUAGUACGAAAGGACCAUUUACUAUAAUUAUAUUAUUGUUUUUGAUUAGAAUUA